GGCUGAUCACCAUCACAAUCACAUACUUAAAAACAGCUCAUUUUCAACUUCUAUAUUGUUCACCAACAACAAUAAUUCAACGUACAACAAGUUAAGAAUCAACAAUGCAACAUAUAACAAAAGUUCAUCAGCAACAAACAACAAGUUCACCAGCAACACACUUCAGUUGAGGGAAGGAUUCACCUUGCUCUGACUGGUGCUGAAGUUUAUCAGGCUAGAAAUCAGAAAAUGCAACUGCUUUAUGGUGUUCCUCAAAGCUUUGAGCUCUUAUGUCUGAGACUUCAAUGUUGUUUCUUGUGUUUCAACCCUCAAUCUCAGUGCACCCAUCUCAGACUCUUGUUCAGCAAUCUUUUGUCGAAGUUGUGGCC
rnacentral:lncRNA from 1 species